rnacentral:rRNA from 1 species
AGGGGUAUAGUAGCAAUACUAGAGACCGGCGCACGGGUGCGUAACGCGUAUGCAACCUACCUUUACAGAGGGAUAGCCCAGAGAAAUUUGGAUUAAUACCUCAUAGUGUUAUUAGAUGGCAUCAUUUGAUAACUAAAGUUCCAACGGUAAAAAGAUGGGCAUGCGUCCUAUUAGCUAGAUGGUAAGGUAACGGCUUACCAUGGCUACGAUAGGUAGGGGUCCUGAGAGGGAGAUCCCCCACACUGGUACUGAGACACGGCCCAGACUCCUACGGGAGGCAGCAGUGGGGAAUAUUGGACAAUGGGCGCAAGCCUGAUCCAGCCAUGCCGCGUGUGUGAAGAAGGUCUUCGGAUUGUAAAGCACUUUAAGUUGGGAGGAAGGGUAGUAACCUAAUACGUUGCUACUUUGACGUUACCGACAGAAUAAGCACCGGCUAACUUCGUG